UAUACCCCGCUCCUCAACAUACAUACACAGUCGGCGUAGCCGAAAUCUCCAGGAGUGAUGCUCCAGGCAAGAGAAUGGAUUACUUACUAGGGGCGUCAUAAGGAUGCCCUCAUUUAAAUUACAGACGGGAAGUUGUGCGAACAAAAAAAGGGACUUUGUCUUCUCUGCUGCUCUCCUUGGUUUCCACAGCUGGUAGUCAAGGCUGGGGAGCUGUCAAAACAGGUCCUGUUAAAACCCACUGAGGCAUUCAUUGUGGGAUUUUUGUUGUUGCUCUUCCACUUCUUCCUGAAGGGAUGAUGGCAUGAAGCACCUAUAGACAUUUUGUAGCUAAAUUUCUUCCUUGAGACAAAUAAAGUACUAUCUAAUCUACAGAAUUGUCCGCGUGUUCCAUUUGGCUCUUGUUGCAUCUAAUGAAAACCAGCUCAGCAUCUCCAUGUUGAAUUUUGAAGAGCCAACUACCAAAACUUACUCAGACCAUCAAGCAAAAAUUUUAAAAUAAUG